rnacentral:lncRNA from 1 species
AGAGAAAGCCGCAUGGAGCUGCAGACAGCCAUGACUCUGCCACUGGCAGUGCAGCCGCCCUGCACGGCCUCCCUCAGCUGCCUCCCUAGCACCAGCCACCAAGGUUUCCAAAGAACUGCAACCAAACAAGUGCUGGAGAGGCAAGUUUGGGUGAAGAAAAGCCCUUUCCCAUGGGACUCUUCAGGUCCUAUCUCGAGGAGAAGUGGAUUUCUUCUCAGUGUGGGCAGAACUUCCCGCUCUGGGCUGGUGUCCCCUGGGUGGGACAGGAGUGUGCUCCUCCCCGCCGUGUGCCAUGUGCCCUCGCUGCUGAUUCUGAAUGGAGACCGAUUCUCCACAGACAUGGGCGUGUGGCUGCAUGUGGAUCACAGAGGAAAAUAGAAAACAAUUUCAUUGUCGGACUCCCCUGCUUGUUUUCAUAUUCUGAACAGUUUCUAGGCUGAAAAAACAGAGCGUUUAAUAAACCCUAUCUGCAUAUGGCUCUGGGAAUCAGUGAAUGCACUUUGGAUGGUAGGGAAAAGAAUCAAUUAAAAAUGGACAAAAUGUAUUCUUCUGGAGGGAGAUUUCUUUUCAUAUCCCAGAGUUGCUGUUUUCAUCGUGACGAUAGAUUCAAAUUAAAUGUAAAAAUCAGAUCAAGGACAGUAGCCAUGGCUUGGUGCCCGGCUAUUUUCCAGGUGCUGUGGACGGUCAGUGGGACCCUGGGUCCCUUUCUGCCUUCUCUCCCCCGGCGGAGCUGCUCCCCUGGUCCCCUGCCUGCUGGGGAGGCCACAGCUGCCGCUGCUGCU